rnacentral:rRNA from 1 species
AAACUGCCUGAUGGAGGGGGAUAACUAGUGUGAAACGGUAGCUAAUACCGCAUAACGUCGCAAGACCAAAGUGGGGGACCUUCGGGCCUCAUGCCAUCAGAUGUGCCCAGAUGGGAUUAGCUGGUAGGUGGGGUAACGGCUCACCUAGGCGACGAUCCCUAGCUGGUCUGAGAGGAUGACCAGCCACACUGGAACUGAGACACGGUCCAGACUCCUACGGGAGGCAGCAGUGGGGAAUAUUGCACAAUGGGCGCAAGCCUGAUGCAGCCAUGCCGCGUGUGUGAAGAAGGCCUUCGGGUUGUAAAGCACUUUCAGCGGGGAGGAAGGCGGUGAGGUUAAUAACCUCGUCGAUUGACGUUACCCGCAGAAGAAGCACCGGCUAACUCCGUGCCAGCAGCCGCGGUAAUACGGAGGGUGCAAGCGUUAAUCGGAAUUACUGGGCGUAAAGCGCACGCAGGCGGUCUGUCAAGUCGGAUG